rnacentral:rRNA from 1 species
UACGUAGGGUGCGAGCAUUGUCCGGAAUUAUUGGGCGUAAAGAGCUCGUAGGCGGCUUGUCGCGUCGGAUGUGAAAGCCCGGGGCUUAACCCCGGGUCUGCAUUCGAUACGGGCAGGCUAGAGUUCGGUAGGGGAGAUCGGAAUUCCUGGUGUAGCGGUGAAAUGCGCAGAUAUCAGGAGGAACACCGGUGGCGAAGGCGGAUCUCUGGGCCGAUACUGACGCUGAGGAGCGAAAGCGUGGGGAGCGAACAGGAUUAGAUACCCUGGUAGUCCACGCCGUAAACGUUGGGAACUAGGUGUGGGCGACAUUCCACGUUGUCCGUGCCGCAGCUAACGCAUUAAGUUCCCCGCCUGGGGAGUACGGCCGCAAGGCUAAA